rnacentral:rRNA from 1 species
AUUGAACGCUGGCGGCAGGCCUAACACAUGCAAGUCGAACGAGUGGCGGACGGGUGAGUAAUGUCUGGGAAACUGCCCGAUGGAGGGGGAUAACUACUGGAAACAGUAGCUAAUACCGCAUACCAUCGGAUGUGCCCAGAUGGGAUUAGCUAGUAGGUGGGGUAACGGCUCACCGAGGCGACGAUCCCUAGCUGGUCUGAGAGGAUGACCGGCCACACUGGAACUGAGACACGGUCCAGACUCCUACGGGAGGCAGCAGUAGGGAAUGUUGCGCAAUGGGCGAAAGCCUGAUGCAGCCACGCCGCGUGUAUGAAGAAGGCCUUCGGGUUGUAAAGUACUUUCAGAGGGGAAGCGUUACUCGCAGAAGAAGCACCGGCUAACUCCGUGCCAGCAGCCGCGGUAAUAC